GUCUGAAAUCAGGAUGGCUCUUAAGAGCUUUCAAAAGAGGCUCUGCAGGUGCUAGCCAGGGAACCUAACAAGUUGCUUUUGCUUGCGUGUGUGCAUGUGGCAACUUUACCAGGCCCAGAAGGGAGGUGUUCACUUCAUUUGAUUUAGUAUCACUGGGAGCACCACUGGUGCACGCUAUCUCAAUUUAAUUUAGAAGUGUCAUUGUAAAACAGCAACAAAAAUAUUUUCAAACGGGUUUCCCCCAUAGUGCAGCAUUGAAACAGAGUUACUGUGAAUACAGAAGACUGUCUAUCCCACAGCAGGCAAUGCAAUUAAAGACUUCAGAGAAUGCCAGAUUUUUCAGAAUGCAUCAUAGAAUUUUCAAAGCUGUAAGAAAGAGGUGAGGAUGCUGAGAUGUAGAGAGACUGAUUUGCUCAAGAUAACAAAGAGUUUUAUUGAUUUGGGAACCCAUGGAAGGGGGUCAGCUGUGAGAUAUCACAUGAUCAGACUGACUGCCUGACCAGACUGACUGCCAUCCUGUUAAAGGAAUGAAUCACAGUUCAUCUCGCAGAUUUAUGGCAUGCCUACAGAAAAAGUACCUUAUGAUGCAAACCUGAAAGUUUAAAUAAUCUCCUGAAAGUUCCACAAUCAGCUGCAGAGAACUCCAGGAGCUGUUUUUAAAGAAGAUUAAGUUUUCAGCUUUCCUCCACUGUUUUGGGAAACGUCACCUUCUUAUCUUGGAAGAGUAAUCUCAAAAUUGAAGCAUCUUAGAUCCAACAAGAAUUAAAAGGAUGGGAAGUCCUUGCAGCCAUCCAAUAGAGUCAGAAGACUUUGGAUUUUGGAGUCUGUGAGAUGAUGUACUCACAUCCCAACAAAUUGAAAAUGCUGACCAAUCCCAGCACAGCCAACUCGAAUUUGCUCCUUCAUCAAAGUGACCAGCACCUCAUUUCUUCCUCUUUAGAAUUUAUAGAGUCCUAUGGCUAUUGAUAUCUAACAUCCUGGCUUCACUCACAUGGAUGAGCCCCACCUGGAAUGCCUAGAAGACGUGGGACAGCUGGAUCUCUCUCCACACGGUUUUUCAUUGUUGCCUCAGGUUCCAAUAAAAGCAAAAGCUGCAAGGUCUUCUGAGGCAAAGACUUAGAAAUACCACAAUGUUACUUCUGCUGCAUUCUGUUGAUAAAAGAAUCCCACAAUGCCAGCUUCAUUUAAAGGGGUAAAGAUAUAGAUUAUUCACCUUCGAUGGGAGGAACUGCAAAUGAUGUAAUUAGUGAUAAUUUUUAAUAUACUGUAAUGUAUUGACUUAUCUUUAAAAAAUGAAAAAAUAAACCAAAAACUAAAAGCAAAACAAAACUAUAAUAGAAAACAAUUGCUUCUGGAGGAGGAAUGCAAUGGGGAAAAGGUUAUAGAAACAAAAGCUACAUUUUAUUUGAAUAUACCUGUUUUAGGUUUGACCCUGGUAACAUUUGAUAUUUUACAUAAUUAUAUCAUUAUUUAAAAUUAAAUUUUAAAACACCAAUACCCAUAACAGAAAAGUUUGAUAAAAGAGGUGAAAUAUAAAUAUAAAUAUAUUAAGUUUGCAUUAUAAUCACACAGAGAUGAAUUGUGUCAGUUACUCAAACACAGAUAUUUGACUAUACAACCUUUAUAAGAUAUCCUAAGGACAAAAAAACAUGCAAAAAUAUAUAUUGAACUGUUUUAAAAUUAUAUUUUUUUGCAAUUGAAUUGUUAUUGUGAGACAGGUGUGUACAUAUUUUAAGAUCAAGCAAGUUAGUAAGCUUGUUGACAUUAUUGUAAAUGGGAUUUGUCCCAUGGGGUAAAGAAGAUAUAAUAGCAAGUAGAAGAAAAUAAAUGAAAACCCAUUAAUAUGAGUUUGAAGUUAAAGUAUCAGUAUGAAGUCAUGAAGCAUUUUCCCAACAAAAAGAAAAAAAUAGUUUCCUAGUUCUAAUCACUUAAAAGUAUAUAGAAACAACAUAAAACUCAAUAUCAAGAGGAAAUGUAACUCAGAUGUGCUCUGUAGACAUUUCCCCUAAAAGGAGUUGAAGUUCAUUGCAAACAAGUAUCUAAUUCCAGCUUGGGGUUUGAAUAUUGUACAAGAUGGGCCUGGAAUAUCAAAUUCUCUUACUAAAAAGCAAGGCAGAUUUGAAAGACUAUUAGGAUGCAUCAAAGAGACUCAGAGGAGUCACCCUGAAGAGGUUACCAUUGGCCAAAGGUAAAAAUUUGAGAAUCAAUAAGAAAAUCAAAGGCAGUAGAUUAAAAUGCCUCAAAUAUGCUUAAAUCUAUCUGUUCCUAAUAAUGUUAAUUUAAAAAUAAUGUUGUCAUUGGACAGCUUUGAAGAAUGUUAGGGAUCCAUAAGAAUGUACAGUUUUGAAUUAAAGAGAAGAAUUGAGCAUUUAUCCUGUUUUUCCUUUAUGGAUUAUGUCUAAGGAUAACCAAAUGUUGAUGACAGAAAAUCCUUUUUAAAGAUACCUUUAGCCAAAGAAUGAAGAAAGAAUGAUAGAAUUGAAAUGUUACCAUUUUUGCAACCCCUAAUGAAAUAAUGAAUCUAGCCAGUUGUUAUCAAUUGUUGCUAACAUAAAAAAUGAGAGACAAACAGACACGCCUCUUCAUAGAAGUAUAUGAUACCACCUAUAAAAUAUUACUGCCAGAAAAAAAAAUCAAACUUUGGAUCUAAUUACCAAUUAGAUCAGCCUUUAGCUCUAACAACCAAUUUGCAAUAUUUACAGGAGAUACAGGAGCAUGUUGAAUGACACCAUAAAAAGGCAAUCAGUAAAAUUUAGUUUAUUAUAAACUAUAUAGGAUAAGUGAUCCAGUUGCUGCAAUAAAUAUAUUACAGAAGGUGUGUAUUGGCGGGUGGGAGAUAAAGGAGCAAUCUAUAGAUAAAAACAGACUUAAGGGACAUAAAAACAACUUUAAUGUAUGGAUCUUAUUUGGAUCCUUAAGAAAACAAAUUGUAAAGUAGCAUGAGACAUUUGAAGAAAAUAGAAAUAGUUUUUAAGUGUGGUAAUGAUAUCGUGGUUAUACGUUGUUAAAGAAUGCCUUUAGAGGUAAAUACAGAAAUAUUUGCAGAUGAACUAAAAUGAUGUCUAGAAUUUACAUAAAAGUAAUCCUGUAGGGAGAGUGAAGAAGUGGAAAGAGUGGAUAUUGAUAGGCAAGAGUAGCUAUAAUUUGACCACUGCUGAAUGUUGUUGAUGGAUAAAUGAAAAUGUAUUAUAUAUUUUUUUACUUAUAUAUUUGAAGAUUUUGAUUUUUAAUAAAGUGAAGCUGAGAAAGGGAAAAUCAUUUUUCUUGAUGUCAGGCUUUGAACAGAGAUAAAAGUAAAACCACUGUAGACCAAAGUGGAAAAAUAAAAAGCAAACAUAAACUUUUAUGCUUUCAGCUCUCUAUUACUGGCUUGUAUUUUUUUUUUAAUCUUUAUUUUAAGUUCCAGGGUACAUGUGCAGGAUG
rnacentral:lncRNA from 1 species